rnacentral:ncRNA from 1 species
ACUCUGGAGAGUCUCACAGAACGAGCGCCGAAGGUGUACGGCAGGUAUUCCUGCCAAUCUCUCAGGCAAAAGGACAGAGGUA